UACAGAGGUCUCAAGCGUUGUUCGGAUUCAUUGGGCGUAAAGGGUGCGUAGGUGGCGCGACAAGUCGGGUGUGAAAUCUCGGAGCUUAACUCCGAAAUUGCAUUCGAUACUGCCGUGCUCGAGGACUGGAGAGGAGACUGGAAUUCAUGGUGUAGCAGUGAAAUGCGUAGAGAUCAUGAGGAAGACCAGUGGCGAAGGCGGGUCUCUGGACAGUUCCUGACGCUGAGGAGCGAAAGUGUGGGGAGCGAACAGG
rnacentral:rRNA from 1 species